UUGCUGCCGCUUGCAGCAACGCUGGACUUUUAACCCCCUGAGUGAGGCCAGGGAGACAAACUUGCAUCCUCACAGAGAUAAUGUUGGGUCCUUAACCUACUGAGUCACAACAAGAAUUCCCCAAUUUAAUUCUUAGACGAGCUAGAAAAACCUAGGAGGGUAGAGGAAAAUUUCUUCUCUCCAACAGUGGCACAAACUUUGCAAAGCCUAGGCUGCUGCUCUACUGCCAAACCCUCCCUGUUCACCAGGACUACUUCUCUUCCUCAGAAAAGCAAAAGGAUUCAUUCUGUUCCCAUGUUUAUUUACCCCUAUUGCUCUUUUUCUCUCUCUCUUUUCCAUGGUACCAAUCUCGUCUGUUUUUUUGCUCUCUCUGGUUUUGACUCUAGUGUUGCUGACUUGUUUUUGUUGGUAUUUGCUGCAUUUGCAUAUCACUUUUCUCUUCCUGAGACCAGAUAUCUCUGCUUGCCCCCCAAGUAGACAAAGUGAAUUGUGUCUAAUCAGCCUCAACCUUAAAUAUCCUCACUUUUAGCUAACUUUCUACAUUCUUUGUAUCUGAAUAUACAGUUCCUGGGAAGCAGUCAGAUUGGUUCAAUUUGGUCAUGUUGUCCAACUGUACUUGGUCAAAUUGUCUAUUUGUCUUUAGCCAGAAGAAUUGGUGAUGGGUGGGUUGCUGUCAGCUUGAUGGGGUUCUGGAAGUAGUCUGAGAUGGGACUGAGGCAGAUUGCUAAGAUGGUUUCUGCAGAAUGAAAAACCAUCAGAUUAAGAAGUACCUUAUCAAGAACUGUUGUCUUUGCUAAAGUGUCUAAUAAUUUAAUGAAGCAUUUAAUACAGUACUUAAUACAUUAUUAUAAUAAUGUACCAACAACUUAAUAGAACAAAGACACUUCUAUUAUUAUUAAGUUUCAUUUGUCUUUUUUGAUUGCAGUCAAGUUUAUGAAAAUAGGUAGAGGAGAAAAAAACCCCUGAGGUCCAAUAUGACAAAAAAAAAUUUUUAAGUAACAAAUCAAUGGAAAAAUGAAAACUUGGGCUAUUUAUGGAGCAGUUGUCAUGUUCAUACUUGUGCCCUAUAUACAUAUAUAUCUGGAGAUAUAUAUAUAUAUUUCUUUUAUUUUUGUCUGUUUAGGGCAUAUGUGGUAUUUCUUUUAUUUUUGUCUGUUUAGGGCAUAUGUGGCAUAUGUGGUAUAUGAAAGUUCCCAGGCUGGGGUUUGAAUAGAGCUACAGCUGCCAGCCUACACCACAGCCGCAGCAAUGCCAAAUCCGAGCUGUAUCUUCAACCCACACCACAGCUCGUGGCAACACCAGAUUCUUUAAAGGCCAGGAAUUGAACCCACAUCCUCAUGGAUACCAGUCAGGUUCAUCAUAGCUUAGUCACAACGGGAACUCCUAUAUAUAUAUAUUUCCUGAUCUUUUCAGUUGAACGUGCUCCAGCUUAUCAAGAUCUUUGAUCUCCAUUUUAAGGUCAAAUGACCAGAUGGGAAAAAGUAUCCCUUGCAUAUAAAUGUAUCAUUUUAAGGAGGAAUAAUCAUUUAUAUUGUACUUCUAGUCCCUCCUCUUAUUGAUGCAAAAUGUAUUUGACUUUUGGGUCUACCAUGUGUCAGGCACAAUGCUUAAGCCUUUAGGUGAGCUAAUAUGAGGAUUAAAAAAGUGUAAUAGCCAAUCUGACAUUACACAAUUAGAAAGGAUUAAGGCAAAAAUGAAACCCAAGUCUUUUGAUUUCAUGGGCUGAAGUCUCCAUUAAUCCACUUUAUUGCCUCUGAAGUACUUUGUUAAUUAGCAUUUCUUUAAAUGCCUAAGUUCUGUCUGUUUACUACUAAACGUUGUGUGUGUGAUUGUCAAAAAGUAAGGCGGUGCUUAAAGAACGGUGGAGUCAAUUCAAAAGGACAGAAGAACUGGUUUUCAUGGCCAAAUCUGGGAAAAUUUGAGCAUCGAAUAAAAUAAUGAUACUAAAGAUUGUAAGUCACUGAAUAAAAAAGAAUUAGUGAGUCAAUGGUAAUAUAAUUAAUGGACAAAUAAAAGAGAGAGAAGGAAAAACUCUCCCUAGAUUAGAAAACUAAUAUAUGUGGAAAGAAUGGCAAAAUUAGAAAAGCACCAUUUGACAGGCAUCAGAAAAAUUAUAUAUUUUGGCAAGAAUUACCAAUAGAUAUUAAAACUAACAGGAAAUAUUUCAGGGAAUAAUAAGAUAUUUACACAAUCUCAGUGUAUCUCACUCCAAGUUAUUUCUUAAUUACAAAGAGAAAGAUGAUGCACUGAGAACACAGCAUCACUUCUGUGGUGUUCCUGCCAAACACGUAAACUGAAUCUAAUCAUGAGGAAAUUUGGAUACAAUUAAAUUGAAGGAAUUUCCACAAAAUAACUGGCCUGUUACCCUUCAAAAGAGUCAAAUGUCAUGAAAGAGAAAGACUGAGGAAAUCCUUAGGAGAUCCUCCAGAGUAAAGGAAACGAAGGAGAUAUGACAUUGAAAUGGAAUGUUUGAGCUGGAACUUUUUUAUGCUAUAAAGAAUAAAAUUGGGACAAUAGAUACAAUUUCAAUAGGUCUAUCAAUUAAGUAUAAUAUGGAAUAAAUAUUAAUUUCCUGGUUUUAAUAAUGAUAUUCUGAUCAAUAAUAAUAUUCUGGGAGAAUGUUCUUAAUUUUAGGAAACAUACACUGACAUAUCUAAAAGGUGAUGAAACAUUAUAUUUGAUACUUUUCCCAAAAUUGUCCAGAAAAAUAAUUUAAUAUAGAUAAAAGAGUGUGAGAGCACAAGUUACUAUUUGGACUCUCUUGGUGAAUUAUUUGAAUUAUUCUUGAAACUUCUGUUAGUUUGAACUUAUAUUAAAAUAUAAA
rnacentral:lncRNA from 1 species